GAAUCAAUUGAUAUUGAUUAUCUUUCUGAUGUCUUCUUUGAUCAUGAAUGAUUCAUUGUAUCUGUUCAAUGAUUGGAGCUCAUGCAAGGGAAUUUUUAGGGUUCAUGAAGUGUGAUACAGAAGGAGAGAUUCUGAUGAUAAAGGCGAAGGUCUUAUUGUGAUUCCUAGGACUAAGCAGGCGACUAAAUCACUGAUUCACAGUUUACGUCCGCUGGAGUUUUGCUCUUCACGAAAGCUGUUUACAUGGAAGUACUCAAUUCCACCGUCUUCGUUGUUUACCGUCAAGCCAAACCACUCUCUUCAGCUGCCCAUCUCUUUGAUCUCCGCUUGGGGUUAAACAAAUGAAAGUGUUACAGUUGCUCAAGUCUUCAGAAUGGAAGACUCACAAUGACAAUGACAAUAUACUAGAUUGCAGGUCAGUUCAUGCUUUUAAAGGUUACAAGAUAUGUCAUUGCAUGUUAACGUUCGAUGGAGGGACCUUCAGACUCUAUCUGAAUCAUUCUAUAGAUAAGUCACUAGGUUUGCAACCAAAUCACUCUGUCUUUCUCACCUUCUCAUCGUGGUUUUUCUCAGGUUUAAUUUCUCAAUGAUUCAUAUAUCUUUCUUUGUCCACCAUCGUAUACAUGAAAGUAAAAGUGAAGGCAUUGUACAUCAAGAACUUUUGAAGGGAUUUAACACAACAACGUCUAAAUAAAUCACGGAAAAACUUUACGAGUUUGUGCAAUACGCAUAUAUAGAGGACUAGCGUCAUAAGAGCCAUGGGCUACACUGAAAGAUAUGUGAUCAGUGGUAUGCUUCAUUUGAAUAAUAAUUUUUUUGUAUACUCUCUUUCAUCAGAUUUUAUUUCUUUGUAUUCUUUUUUCUACCUAACAGUAUUAAGAAUCAAGGUUUGAUAACAACUUAAAUGUGUUUUCUAA